GAUGAAUGCUGGCGGCGUGCCUAAUACAUGCAAGUAGAACGCAGUUGCGAACGGGUGAGUAACGCGUAGGUAACUGCCUCAUAGCGGGGGAUAACUAUUGGAAACGAUAGCUAAUACCGCAUACUGUGUGAUGGACCCGCGUUGUAUUUGCUAUUUGGUGAGGUAAAGGCCCACCAAGGCGAAGAUACAUAGCCGACCCGAGAGGGGGGGUCGGCAAACCGGGACUGGGACACGGCCCAGACGUCCACGGGAGGGAGCAAUAGGGGAUCUUCGGGAAUGGACGGAAGUCUGACCAAGCAACGCCGCGUGAAUGGAUGAGGUUUUCGGAUCGUAAAACUCUGUUGAUAAAGGAGCGGUAACUAACCAGAAAGAGACGGCUAACUACGUGCCAGCAGCCGCGGUAAUUC
rnacentral:rRNA from 1 species